rnacentral:tRNA from 1 species
GGAAAUAGCUCAGUGGUAGAGUGCAUGCUUAGCAUAUACGAAGCCCUGGAUUCAAUCCCCAGUAUUUCCA